rnacentral:rRNA from 1 species
AUUACCUCAGUAACGGCGAGUGAAGCGGUAACAGCUCAAAUUUGAAAUCUGGCUCUUUCAGGGUCCGAGUUGUAAUUUGUAGAAGAUGUUUCGGGUGUGGCUCCGGUCUAAGUUCCUUGGAACAGGACGUCGUAGAGGGUGAGAAUCCCGUAUGUGACUGGCUGCCUCCGCCCAUGUGAAACUCUUUCGACGAGUCGAGUUGUUUGGGAAUGCAGCUCAAAAUGGGUGGUAAAUUUCAUCUAAAGCUAAAUAUUGGCCAGAGACCGAUAGCGCACAAGUAGAGUGAUCGAAAGAUGAAAAGCACUUUGGAAAGAGAGUUAAACAGUACGUGAAAUUGUUGAAAGGGAAGCGCUUGCAAUCAGACUUGCGCGCGGCCGAUCAUCCGGGGUUCUCCCCGGUGCACUCGGUCGCGUUCAGGCCAGCAUCGGUUUGGGUGGUGGGAUAAAGGCCUUGGGAAUGUAGCUUCUUUCGGGGAGUGUUAUAGCCCUCGGUGCAAUGCCGCCUAUCCAGACCGAGGACCGCGCUUCGGCUAGGAUGCUGGCGUAAUGGUUGUAAGCGACCCGUCUUGAAACACGGACCAAGGAGUCUAACACUUAUGCGAGUAUUUGGGUGUCAAACCCAUAUGCGUAAUGAAAGUGAACGGAGGUGAGAACCCUUAAGGGUGCAUCAUCGACCGGUCCUGAUGUCUUCGGAUGGAUCUGA